AUUGAACGCUGGCGGCAUGCUUUACACAUGCAAGUCGAACGGUAACAGGGUGCUUGCACCGCUGACGAGUGGCGAACGGGUGAGUAAUGCGUCGGAACGUGCCGAGUCGUGGGGGAUAACGCAUCGAAAGGUGUGCUAAUACCGCAUACGUACUGAGGUAGAAAGUGGGGGACCUUCGGGCCUCACGCUAUUCGAGCGGCCGAAGUCUGAUUAGCUAGUUGGUGAGGUAAAGGCUCACCAAGGCGACGAUCAGUAGCGGGUCUGAGAGGAUGCUCCGCCACCCUGGGACUGAGGCACGGCCCAGCAUCCGACUGGAGGCAUCAGUGGGGAAUUUUGGACAAUGGCCGCAAGCCUGAUCCAGCCAUGCCGCGUGUCUGAAGAAGGCUUUCGGGUUGUAAAGGACUUUUGUCCGGGAGCAAAUACCCAGUGCUAAUAACGCUGGGGGCUGAGAGUACCGGAAGAAUAAGCACCGGCUAACUACGUGCCAGCCGCCGCCGUAAAAC
rnacentral:rRNA from 1 species